UUAACAGCGGUGUUAGCGCACGAAGAAUUUUGAUUUCUUAAGAGAGGGUUACAAACCCCCUUGUUAAA
rnacentral:tRNA from 1 species